CUACGUGCCAGCAGCCGCGGUAAUACGUAGGGUGCGAGCGUUAAUCGGAAUUACUGGGCGUAAAGCGAGCGCAGACGGUUACUUAAGCAGGAUGUGAAAUCCCCGGGCUCAACCUGGGAACUGCGUUCUGAACUGGGUGACUAGAGUGUGUCAGAGGGAGGUAGAAUUCCACGUGUAGCAGUGAAAUGCGUAGAGAUGUGGAGGAAUACCGAUGGCGAAGGCAGCCUCCUGGGAUAACACUGACGUUCAUGCCCGAAAGCGUGGGUAGCAAACAGGAUUAGAUACCCUGGUAGUCCACGCCCUAAACGAUGUCGAUUAGCUGUUGGGCAGCAUGACUGCUUAGUAGCGAAGCUAACGCGUGAAAUCGACCGCCUGGGGAGUACGACCGCAAGGUUGAAACUCAAAGGAAUUGACGGGGGCCCGCACAAGCGGUGGAGUAUGUGGUUUAAUUCGACGCGACGCGAAGAACCUUACCAGGUCUUGACAU
rnacentral:rRNA from 1 species